rnacentral:rRNA from 1 species
UACGAAGGGGGCUAGCGUUGUUCGGAAUUACUGGGCGUAAAGCGCACGUAGGCGGCUUUGUAAGUUAGAGGUGAAAGCCCGGGGCUCAACUCCGGAAUUGCCUUUAAGACUGCAUCGCUAGAAUUGUGGAGAGGUAAGUGGAAUUCCGAGUGUAAAGGUGAAAUUCGUAGAUAUUCGGAAGAACACCAGUGGCGAAGGCGACUUACUGGACACAUAUUGACGCUGAGGUGCGAAAGCGUGGGGAGCGAACAGG